rnacentral:rRNA from 1 species
UACAGAGGUCCCGAGCGUUGUUCGGAUUCAUUGGGCGUAAAGGGUGCGUAGGCGGCUUGCUAAGUUUGAUGUGAAAUUCCAGGGCUCAACCCUGGUAUGGCAUUGAAUACUGGCGGACUAGAGUACUGGAGAGGAAACUGGAAUUUACGGUGUAGCAGUGAAAUGCGUAGAGAUCGUAAGGAAGACCAGUGGCGAAGGCGAGUUUCUGGACAGUAACUGACGCUGAGGCACGAAGGCCAGGGGAGCAAACGGG